UCCCCCUCUUCUCCCAGGCUCCAGGCCCAGCACAGAGGGGUUCCUUGACUGCUCCGGGCUCUGCCUCAGGGCCUUUGCACGCCGGCUCCCUCUGCAUUGGGGUUCCCCUCUGCGGAGCUCCCCUCAACUUGCCGCCCUCCGCCCUUUCUAACCCGCACCCCCGCCCCAUCUCGCCCUCUGCCUGUUUCUCUCUGCGGCGCUCACUGUCUGACUUCUUAGGGCGGGGUGCUGGGGCUGGGACCCUUUUUACUUAUUUCAAGACAGGGUCUCACUCCUCUGUGACUGCUGUGCUAUGCGUGCGGAAGGGAGCGGGAAGGGGGAGGGGAAGGCGGGGGAGAGAAACGCACGCAAAGAGGAAGUGACCGCGGCGCCGCAUCUGCUGCCCAGAUGCUGCCAGGAGGGCUGGCACGGGGACGCGCACCACCUGCUGUCUUCAGGAAGCGGACUGGCCGAGCACCGGCCACGUGCGGGUGGGCCGGGAGCGGGUCUGGCCGGGGCCUACAUCCCGCACAAGCAAGGGCCGCGAGGGAGCAGUGAGCCCUCGCUGCUGUCCUGCGUUCCGGCCGCACGGUGCCCUGGCCCCUGCCGCAGCUGCCCCUGCACCUGACAGGAGCGACUGAAAGCGACAUGUCCUAUGUCUCCUACACACCAGAUCCCCAGGACCCACACGGAAGGAAGAGUGUGAUGGUCUGUGUUCUUAUGUUGAUCACAGUCUGAAUGACAGUGUUUGGUCCUGUGAGGUUUGUUUCUUUUGCAAAACUUGCCUACUGACAGUGGAAUUGCAUAUGCAGGGCAGGCUGGGAUUCUAGGGCAGAGUGCUUCCCUGGAAGGUGCAAAGGGCCUGGGGCACAUUGCCACCCUGCAGAGAGGGACAGUUGCACAUGGGCCUUUGUCGAGUUUCUGUUUGAGGUUGCUGUUAUGGCAGCUGUUACGGCUGCUUCUUCACAGAGAGAAUGAGGACAAGGUCAAGGCCGCCGAGGCAGAGGUGGCCUCUCUGAGAAGGUGACAGGGAUCAGAGGCCCGAAGGAGCUGUAGGAAGAAGCGCUGUGGAGGAGCAGCCAGGCACCCUGGGGCAGGGCCUGUGGGUGCAGCUGAGCGUGAGCUACUGGUUCGCCCCACCUGGCUUCCCCUCGAGGACCAGGCUCUGCCCCUGCCCCACUCCACCACUGCCCUGCACCGUGGGCUGAAUGUCCCUGCCCCGUCACGAAAACCCAGGCAGCCUGAGUCCCUCGGCAUCACCUGCUUGUGUCACUUGCCGCUGCCCACGGCCACCUGCAGGAGCGUCCCUGUCCCUCGGGGCUGACAGUGGAAGCCGAUCUUUGGCCUGACCCAGGACCUGCACUAUCACUGCCGGGCGCGGCCAGGACAAAGGUCCCGGCCCUGGCAAGGACCUGGCCAGCUAGGGAGCUGCACCUACAGCACCGGACAUGUCACAAUGUCAGCAGCAAGGAGCAGUGGGGGAGGAGCGCGGCCCUGACGUAGCCUGGCCUUCCUGGGUGACACCGCCCACCCACUCACCCACCGUCAUCCACCUGUGAGCCAGAGUUUCCUGAGCACCUAAUGCAUGCCGGGCUCAUGGUGCGGGGGCUGCAGAGAGUGUGAGCAACACAGCGGAUCCCCUCUGCCCUGGCUGACCUGACAACCGCUGAUCACCCGGAAGUGUGGAAACUCGGGAGGACAGGAGAAAUGUGAGCUCGGGCUUUGCUGACGGGACACAAGAUGGUGCGUGUGCUGUGGCAACCGGGUGCUGGCUCCCCAAAACCUUAAACUGGAAUGAGCACAGCGCACAGCAAUCUGCUGCUGGCUACAGACUGCAAAGAACCAAGAGAAUGCUAGAGACAGGGUCUCGCUAUGUAGUUCAGGUUGGACUUGAACUCACAG